AACAAAUAUAAACCAUGAUAAAAAAAAAAGAUUAGACCUAGUUCUCUUUUCUCUCUCGAGCUCCAGCCCGCGGUGGUGUGUGGUGGAAGCGCCCGCUUCUUUCUCUCCACACAAUCCCCAUAUGUCCUCCGACAGGAUACUGUGAAGUUCUUUGUCCGUGGCUCGUGCUUGAAAGGGGAAAAUUGUGAAUUUUCUCAUGACUCUAAGGAUCCGCCGAAUAAUGUUUGCACAUUCUACCAAAAAGGGAUAUGCUUUUACGGGAGUAGAUGUAGAUAUGAUCAUGUCAGAGCUUCUUCCAAUGUUCAUAGACCACCUCUUACUUCUGAUUCUGAGUCUCCUGAUCGCUCUUUGUGUUGUGAAUCUUUCCACCAAUUUCCAUAAUUUUGCUUAUGUAUUGGGAAUUUGGUCAUAACUUUAAAACCGUAAACCUAAAUCAAGAUCUGUUCUUUUCUGUGGCUUAAUAUGUCUGUUGUGAAUCUUUCCACCAAGUUCCAUAAUUUUCUGGGUUGUUUUGGUACUCUGUUUGUACUCGCCAUCAAGACAGACGAAUUUAGUAGCUUUAUGGCUUCAUUGCCUCUGUUUAAGUAAUUGGAAAGUGAAAAAGCUUCUAGUUUUGAAUC